CCAGCUCCAAUAGCGUAUAUUAAAGUUGUUGCAGUUAAAAAGCUCGUAGUCGAACUUCUGUUCGAGGCCUGAGGAGCCAUCCGGAAGGUCUCGGACAUCCGUCUGCGCACAGCGAUGUGGCAGCAGACAGUUUACCUUGAGAAAAUUAGAGUGUUUCAGGCAGGCGUAGCCGGAAUACAUUAGCAUGGAAUAAUGGAAGAGGACCAGGCCUCAUUGUUGGUGGUAGGCCGGUAAUGAUGAAUAGGGACAGUCGGGGGCAUUAGUAUUUAAUUGUCAGAGGUGAAAUUCUUGGAUUCAUUAAAGACUGACUUCUGCGAAAGCAUUUGCCAAGGAUGUUUUCA
rnacentral:rRNA from 1 species